rnacentral:lncRNA from 1 species
UGAACCCACAAACUGUGAGAUCAUGACCUGAUCUGAAGUCAGACACUUAACUGACUGAGACACCCAGGCACCCCAGUUAUCAUUUUAUAUGUAGGCAUUAAAGUGUACAUUCAUUUUACUUGAAAAUAACAUAUACUGUAUUGAUGUGAACUAUAACAUUAGCCUAUUAAAUCUACUUAAUCUCACGUUCUCAGUAGGUCCUUACAGGCAACAGCGAAUUAAUGGGGACUGGGGUUGAGCACACUAGUGCUCAUUUGUGUCUCCUGGAGUUUUCUUCUUGUGAGAGCUUUCAGGAAAGGUUAAUUAUGCAUGGACAGACAUGCAUAGAAAGAUAGAAACUUCAGAUUGUUCUGUCAGACCCUUGUGUUGAACCAUUUCUUGUUCUCACUCUCUGUGGGGCAGCUGGCCACUUUUCCAACAUCAGUUCACACUGCGGAAACAGGGUAUGUGACUCUGGUCAGCUUCAGGCAAACACAGUUCGCCACAUUCAGAGCUUCUUGCCCUCUGCCACUUGGGAUUAAUCUUUGAACCAAGGAGUGUGGAGCAGGAGAUAAACAUAAUCAGAAUCAUAAUGGUACUGUUUCAGUAAAAUCUCAAAUAUUGCAAAUCUUAAUGUGGCAUAGACAGUGACAGGAAGAUAUAAAGAAGCAAAAUACAUAUUUGAGUCAAUAUUUAUUAAAUUCCCUGUCAUGACCAUGAUGAAACACAUUAUAGUAGUUUACAAAUUUGCUCAUAAGAUAAAAUAGAAAUAUUCUUAAAUUUUAUAUGUCAAAAUUUUCAAUUUGCUUUUUUAUUGGCAAUUACAUUAUAAUGGAUUAUAAUUACAUUUGGUAAUUAUAUAUAUAAUGUGUGUAUAUAUAUAUACAUAUAUAUAUACUCUUAUAUAAAUUUAUUAAUAAAAUUUUAAAAAACUUCUCCCCAAGAAGUAUAAACUCUUUCGAGUUUUGGAAGUUUGUUUUUCAUUGUUGUUGUUGUUGUUAUUGUUGUUAUCAUUUUUGUUGAUUCACUUCUUAUCUCAAAUGUCUGGAUGGAAUGCAAGAGUUAGGGAAUUGAUUGCAUUUCACAUAUUAAAGAUGAAGAAACCCCAGAAACUCAGAAGUUUUUACUAUUACUUUUAUUGCUUUUAGAUAGAUGAGGAGUAUGAAAGGUUAGAUAUCCUUAGUUAAUCUUAGGGAAUUAAAUCUAUCUGAGUAAAACCAAUUGGAAAGGAUUUUUUAUCUCGAGCUGUGGGCCUUUGUUCUGCAAUAACUACAGCCAUUUAAAGUAAAUUGUCCAUUAAAGUACCACUCUGGCUUUUGACAAAUUGCAUCAAACUGUUUUCUUCCUCCAGGGAAACACAAACCUGAGAACGGUGGUUUUAUUUUUUCUGCUUGACAUAUAGGUUGCCUGAACCAGAGGGCUGAAAUGCUUUUAGGUGCUCUAUAAGACAACCCAAAGAGGUUAUAUAUGGUCCAGUAGAGCCCAAGUGAAGACACUGAAUACUCACAGCUUAUCUUGUGUGAUGACAAAUAAUUGGUCAUGCCCUGAUAUCAUUUGUCAUUUUGAAAACCAUUCUUACUUUUUAAUCAUGUAAUAUAAGGACAAUAUAACAGACCUGACAAAGGCUAAAAAUCCCAUUUGUUUUUUGUUUUUUUUUUGGUGAAACAUUAGUCCCUGAACUAUAUGGAAAUAAUUCAAAUGACUGCCAAGGAGCAAAUUCAAGGCACUGAUGUCAUUAGCAGCUACUGUCUUAUUUUUCAGUUGAGGGAAGUUCAAGCUGCUAAUUGUAACUGAGUAAAAAAAAAUCAAUUUUGAUGGAAAUAUUCCUUCAAAAAUUAAAUACACUAUGGUCACAGAUUCAAAGAUAAUUAUAUACCUGUGGUUUAGAUAUUAAUGAAAUUAAAUAUUUUAUUGUUUUUUAAGUUUAGGUUACUUUAGGCUAUGUGAAAACAAUAUCUGAAUUGUUAGUAGUAGUAGUAAAAAUAGUUAAAAUAUUCUACCUUCACAGUAUAUAAUAAAAGAAGAAAAAUAAACAUUUCCUGUGUUUCUAAAAAUUGUUUCUUCAAUUUAGCUUUGAUAAUUGCUAUGUUGUGGUCAUGUGACUUGUUAAUUUAAAAAACCUUGAUUAUGAACUAGAUGUUCUAAUUUACAAACAUGAAAAGAUGGGCAUUAGGUUAAAAUACUAAAGUUGCUUAUAUGCUUUGACUGUAGGAAUCAUUUUCUGGUCCACACCAUUUUGUAGAGUAUAUAAAAUUUAUUAUCUCAUACUGGAUCAAUAGCCUAGAAAGUUCUGGCUGUGUCAGUUUCCUUGACUUUCACAACUUUGACAGUUGAAGACAGUCUGUUAUUUUGUAGACUAUCCCUGAAUUUGGGUUUGUCUGAUGUUUCUUAUUGAUGAGCUUCAGUUAUGUACAUUGAGAAGGAAUAUCACAGAAAUGAGCCUAACGGGGUACAUGAUUUUGUCUUAUUAUUCAUAAUGCUAAUUUUGAUUAUGUAUUUAAGUCAUGUCUACCAGACCACUCCACUGUAAAUUUUUUUAUUUUAGUUUUGUGAUGAGUAAGAAUUUUGUGGAGACAUGCUUGAGACUGUGUAAACAUUUCAUUUUUUACUAUAUAUAUUUUUUUUCUAUAUUUUUGAUUCAUCCAUUUGUUUAGUAAAUUUACUUACUUUGAUAUCCAAAUUGUCCCACAUUUAGCAAAGAGAGACCCUUCAAUCUGGCUUCUGUAUCCUUUUGACAUGUCUGAAUCAUUUUAUGUACUUUAUUUCUUUCUUGCACAAUAAGAUUUUCCAGGCCCGUUUUCUUCUUUCCCUAACCCAGUCAGCUAUUUCUUUUUCUUUUUUUUUUUUUUUAAUUUUUUUUUUCAACGUUUAUUUAUUUUUGGGACAGAGAGAGACAGAGCAUGAACGGGGGAGGGGCAGAGAGAGAGGGAGACACAGAAUCGGAAACAGGCUCCAGGCUCUGAGCCAUCAGCCCAGAGCCCGACGCGGGGCUCGAACUCACUGGGCCGCGAGAUCGUGACCUGGCUGAAGUCGGACGCUUAACCGACUGCGCCACCCAGGCGCCCCCAGUCAGCUAUUUCUUAAAAGAUCUUCAAUUUCUUUUAGUGAAGAAUGAUGUUUAGAAACCAAGAUCUGGCAGCACUUAUUAAUACAGUUCACUUAUUUCUGCUGGAGGCCACUGUUCCCAGGAGUGCUCAGUAGACAGAGCUAAGGAAUAUGUAUAUGUAUAUGUGUAUGUGUGCAUACAUACAUUUAUAUCUACUCAAUUCUAUAUUUAUUAGUACACACACAUUUGUAUCUUUAUUUCUUUGUCUUUGUCUUCAUCUCUCUUGCUCUGUAUAUAUAUUAAAAUACAUGAAUUAACAUCAAUACCUUCAAUUCUAUUGCAACACUCAGGAUUCAUCCUUUUCUUUCUUUCUGUAUGUCUUUCUCUGAGAGUGAGAAACCAGACUCCCACUAGCUUUAAUAUCUGUACUUAUUUGGUCAAUCCUUCUAUAUGGAACCAAUCUCUUGUAGCCAACACUGCCUCCACCCCUGCAGGGAUGCCUGCCUUAUCCUGCUCAGGCACAAAUAUGUGGUUCCAAAUCACCCCUCUGCAAGGAUGCUCCAUUGACUGCUCAUGCACCAGAAGCCAAGGUGGGGCCACCUCCAUUUCUGCACAGAGACAUUCUCACACAACUUGCUCUCUCGAAUUCUACCGUGCACCCUAGUGGCUUCCCCUCACCCUUGUGACAGCCUACUUUCUAUUUUCCUCAGAUGGACUAUACACACCUCCCUGGAUUUCCUCUAUCUUUGUUUUAUUCACAUUUCUUUUCUAGCCUGCUCUCUAAAUGUUCAAGUUCCUUAGAGCUUGCUUAUUCCUUGUUGCCUACAUGAUGACAAUCAGUCUCAUGGUGUUAAGGAUCUUCUCCAGGUCAGUAACCCUCAAAUCAAUAUCUUCUGAGUUCAAAGCUGAUACACAUAACUACUUAUUUGACAUCUACACUUGGAUCUCAUGCAUUCAAAUAUAAAAUGUAUAAAUGAGAACUUUUGAUUCUUCUUUUCCCAUUCUUCUUCCUCAAUAAAUAACACCACUACUGUUGUGCAAGCCAGAAUAUAGGAUAUCUUUUCCUUAUCUGUACAAAUGCAUAUAUUAGCAAAUCCAACUUUUCUUCAAAAUGUUUCCUUUAUUUGUUGAUUUCCAUUAAUCUGAAUUGUUGCCACCUUUGUCCAAGCCAUACUCCUAUCUCACUCAGACAAUUAUGGUGGCAUAUUUUUCUACUUCUGUUCUUGCUUCUAUAACCUAUAAUCAAAUCUUCCAUAAUCUAUAUUCUUCUAAAAGAAGUAGAAUUAUAUUUUAUUUAAAAAUUUUUAAAACGUUUAUUUAUUUUUGAGACAGAGAGAGACAGAGCAUGAACGGGGGAGGGGCAGAGAGAGAGGGAGACAUAGAAUCCGAAGCAGGCUCCAGGCUCUGAGCCAUCAGCCUAGAGCCCGACACGGGGCUCAAACUCAUGGACCGCGAGAUCGUGACCUGAGCUGAAGUCAGAUGCUUAACCGACUGAGCCACCCAGGUGCCCCAAGAAGUAGAAUUAUAUUUUAAAAAAUUACAUCAGGGCAUGUCAUCUCUCAACAAAAUCCUCUUGGUUUUCUCUUGUAUUUACAGUGAAAUGCAAACUUCUUGCUUUGUCUACCGUGCUCCCUCCAUGGUCUGGCUCUAGCUUAUUUCUGUCCUUCCAUCUUCUAUCACUUUUCCCUUCUGAUUUACUAGGAUCUUUCCUAUCAUUCUUGUCCUAUAACAUGCCAACUUUUUCCCAACUCAGGCAUUUGGAUUUGCUCUCUAGAAUCCACUUUCUCCAAAUCUUCAUUUACCUGACUCUUUCUCACUUGGAUCUCAUGGAAAUAUUGCUGAUGAAAUAAACUAACCAAUUUCUGAGAAAACUCUUGAGUCUCUUAGUGAAUUUAUGAGUUUAGCAAGGCACUUAAUGACCAUUUCUAAGUGGCUUCUCAGAAAGUCUAAGAGGUCUCAGAAAGUGGUUUGGAGUCUUACAGAGAGGACUUAUAGAAUGCAGCUGAGAUUUCCUGAAUCAUGGGAAGAUUUAAGAGUUGAGAAAAACAUGGAAUGAGGGAAGAAGUCAGGAGCCAUAAGAUGGGGAAUAUGUGAUAUGGAUGUAGGGUCUGAACUUUAUGGUCUAGGUUGUAGACUUCAGCAAUGGUCACAAGUACCCACUAAAAUCAGAUAAAACCAUUUACAAUAUAAAAGGGACUAAGGUCAGACAGCCAGGACUAAAGCUACCUAACAACCACCCUUAGAGAUUUCUGAAACUGCUGGUGGAGAAUUCCAGAUGUGAGGUCCUUUAUCAAUAGCCAAGAGGAACUAUAAACAGCUCCUUGCAUAGAUCCCUAGGUAUUACCAUGGGGGAGGGGAUUGGUGGUGAAGGCAAUCCUGAAAGAUUUAAUCACUUGCUUAAAAGAGAUGGAGGUAACUUUAAAAAAAUAUAAAUGCAAGAUAUUUAGUUUAUUUUUAUUUUGAAAGUUUAACAAAUCUAAGCCUACUCAAAUUUCCCAGUGGACUAAGAGUAAAUGGGCCAUAUGAGUAUGUGCAUGUGUAUGUAUAGCACAUACAAAUGUGUGCAAGUUAUCAUUAUUAUUUUUCUAGUUAUUUAUUUUUGGGGGGAGAGAACAAGUGAAAGAGGGACAAAGAGAGUGGGGGAGAGGAUCCAAAGCAGGCUCUGCACUGACAGCUGACAGCAGUGAGCCCGAUAUGCGGCUUGAACUCAUGAACUGCGAGAUCAUGACCUGAGAUGAAGUCAGAUGCUCAACCAACUGAGCCACCCAGGUUCCCCUGUGCAAAUUAUUUUUAACCAUACAGUGAUAAAUAGUUGACAACACUAAGGAAUUUAUGUCUAUUUAAGUGCAUGAAUUUAUAAACUGAUUCAAGGACUAAAAAUAGGUUAAUACUGCCUGAAGGGACAGUUAUAUAUUUGAGCAAUUGUUCUCAACCUUGAUUGCUCAUUUUAUCUAAUUGGGGGAAUCUUUAAAAAAGCUAAUGUUUAAGUCCACCUUUGAGAGAUUCUGAUUUAAUUGGCCUGGAGUGUGGGCUGGGUAUCAUGGUUCUUAAAAACAUUUCCAGCUGCUUCUAAUGUGAAGCCAGGGUUGAUAGGUUGAGAACUAGUGUUUUAGACUAAGAUAAUCUCUACCUACAUUGCCAGUCACACACCACCAUUUCCUGUAUGCUAAUACCUCCUGAUAUGAGUGAGAUUUAGGGCAACCCUAAUCCCUGGCUCUACUUGACAGCUUCUGAUUCAAAAAGUUUCCAAGGGGUAGAGGUACAAAAAAUAUUCCUAGAUAAAUGCAUUAUUUUACCCUAGUUAGCUGGAUUGAAAACUCAUCAGCUUGACGUCUCUUUUUGUCUCAUUGGCUUCAGUGGAUUCUGGAAGCAAAUCAAAUGAUUUCCUCGGACUCUUUCCCUCUAGGGUCAUACCAGCACCCUGACCUUUUAGAUAUUACUACCCUCAUCUUGAGAAGAGGGGUGGAAAAGUCAACUUAGGAAGGUUUCUUCUUCCCAAAGGCUUAAAGCAGAGCUGACCUUUACCUCAUUUUCUUUUCCCUUCUCUUAGGUUUUGUGAGCAAUCAUCUUGUGAUCAAGAGCCACCCAGAGUUUCCCAAUUUCAUAUACUUGGCAAAAUUGCCUGGUUAUUCUUACUUAAGCAAACAAUAAUAACAAUAAAAAAGCAGAUCCUUCAGCUCCGUGCCACCUAGUCUAAGAAACACCACUGGUCAGCGUAAGAUUAAUGGGGCUCCAGAGAGCACUGUGGUAAAGCCUGCUAACCCAGCAGUCUUUUGAAACAUGCCAAGAUAUCCUCAGCAAUGACAUCUCCAUAAUGAGUUUCAUGAGGGUGUACAUUGAGUCUAAUGAACUUUUGUUAGCUCUGCUGUUUCUCACUUUGUUGCUUUUGCAGCUGCUAAAAUGGGAAGGAUUGAGAUCAGCAAGUUUCUGACUGUGAGUAAGCUAAAAUAGGCUUUUGAAUAAUGUUUUCCGCCUGCUUAGCAAAUUUCUCUUGUGACAGUUGGAUGUUAUUUGGGGUGCCAUACUAGGAGGAAGAGGCACAAGCACAUUUCAGUCAGUUUUGAGAAUAAAUAUUCUGUGUAUAUAUUUGUAGUUGUUAUAUUUUUCCUUCUUGAGGGUUAUGAUUGAUCCUUGGCAUGUGGCCCCUUGUGUAUUGCUCUGCUGAAAA